GCGUCUGUAGCCUAGUUGGUAAAGGCAGCACUCUAGUAUGUGUCUCAGCAUAGCUGAGGUUGUGAGUUCGACUCUCACCAGAAACA
rnacentral:tRNA from 1 species